rnacentral:rRNA from 1 species
GCACAAGCGGUGGAUGAUGUGGUUAAUUCGAUGCAACGCGAAAACCUUACCACCUUGACAUGUACGGAAUCCUUAGAGAUAGAGGAGUGCUCGAAAGAGAGCCGUAACACAGGUGCUGCAUGGCUGUCGUCAGCUCGUGUCGUGAGAUGUUGGGUUAAGUCCCGCAACGAGCGCAACCCUUGUCAUUAGUUGCUACAUUCAGUUGGGCACUCUAAUGAGACUGCCGGUGACAAACCGGAGGAAGGUGGGGAUGACGUCAAGUCCUCAUGGCCCUUAUAGGUGGGGCUACACACGUCAUACAAUGGAUGGUACAAAGGGUCGCCAACCCGCGAGGGGGAGCCAAUCCCAUAAAGCCAUUCGUAGUCCGGAUCGCAGUCUGCAACUCGACUGCGUGAAGUCGGAAUCGCUAGUAAUCGUGGAUCAGAAUGUCACGGUGAAUACGUUCCCGGGUCUU